UGCUGUAUAUAUGGCUUUUUGUGUUUAGUGUUUCUCAGCUCAGUACUCCCAACAUCCUCCUGGCUGGUGGUGUAGCAGGGAUAUUAAAUUGGAUGAUUGCUCUUCCUCCAGAUGUCCUCAAAUCUAACUUCCAGACAGCUGCAGAAGGGAAGUACAGAGGUCUGGCUGAUGUCCUGAGAACACUGCUUCACGAAGAAGGACCUAAAGCCCUUUAUAAGGGUUUUAAUGCCGUCCUUCUACGAGCCUUCCCUGCCAAUGCAGCAUGUUUCUUAGGUUUUGAGGUGACAUUAAUGGCACUGAACUCAUUCGCACCCAACUGGUGAAAAUAAGCCAGGUUGUUAUAAAAUGUAUAUAACUGCCCCCCAGUCUGGACCAGCCUUUCAGUGAGACAAAGUUUCUUUGUAUCACAAACUAUUGUGAGUGUUUUGUAUCUCUGGAGUCACAUUUCACAAUGCUGAUAUGAAAAAUAAAGAAUAGUAAUUAGAAUACAAGAAAUUGUAUUCUGAAAUGUAAUUUCACAUUUCCAAAUACAGUUUUUUAAAAUUGUUUAAAUCAAGAUUUUCUGCUCAUUUUUGAGCAGUGAUACAGUGUAAAGGCACAUUUAUGAAUGGUUUUCAGAUAUAUUAGCCUUUUUAAUGUUUAAGUUGUGUAUGAAAAUAUCAGAUGAGAAAUUUAGCAGCAUUUAGUUUGAAUUGGGCACUAUGUACAGUAUUAAUUGACAAGCUCUGCCAAAACUUUCUAUUUAUUAUUUCUGGUGUGAUCCUGAGGUUCGUCUGGCUUGUGUACAGGUCCAGGGGAGUUUUAUAACCUUUUUGAAUAAAUUUUGCCUGAGACCAUGAGUGUCAAGACUCUGACGUCACAAUGUUUUUGUAACUUGCCCCUCACAACCCCAGCCUACCCCCCCACCCAUCCCCCAUCUUGUUUUCUGGAGUGUUUAUUAUUUUAUAGCUUGCACCUGCAUAUCAUAAAGUCUUUUUUCUUGUGGGAAUAGUGCAACACCCCCCAGACUAAGUUUGACAGAAAGUUAUCCACUAAAAUCUUUGAUAAACAUGUGACUUUGGUGUGUAAUCUUACCAUCAUGUGGGGCCCGUUAUAUUUAUCAAGGCAACUGAACUUACAGUGGACAUGUAUGGAAGAGGAUGCAGCUGGAGCAGCGACACUGUUUAGAGCACUGAUGCUGGUGACUGGGAUCCACCCUGGUCUGUGGGCCUGGAGUGGGCCGUUGUUGCAGUAAGGAAGAGUUUCCCUUGACAGCGUACAGUCCGUAGACCACCAAGGUGACUUCGACUUGCUACUCUCUAUCUCUGGACACUCCGACCACUACAGCAGCCAGUCUCUCACUGAGAGAGGUGGAGGAUUGGAGUAAAGCUGACACCCUGCCUAACUCUGACCCCAGCUUUGCACCCAGUUCAGCUGGUGCUGAGGUAGAGUGCAUGGACGAAGUGGAGAGUUUAUUAAAACCUGAUGUCCUUUUAUUAAACUGACUUUGGUGGAGAUACUUAAAUUGGUGAUCACCGCUCAUGUACAAUCAUUGCAGUGUGUGUGUGUGCUACUGGGGCCCAACCAUCUAAACACACCUGUUCAGAUCAUCUGUUUAAAUGGUAUUUUAACAUCUAUUUUGACAUGCUACAAAGACUGUGAGUCCCGGAGUUCAUUCCAACUGCUCUAGAAAUCCUGAGUCUGGAAGGUUUUGAACCACACACUAACCAUGUUCGCGGAGCUGUGCAGGCCUGCCUUUAUGAACUAAAGGAGACUGUGCACAUUUACGCCAGUCUGAAUCACCUGGAAGGCACCGCAAGGGCAGGAGCCAGUGUCUGCAUACAGUACUGUCUGAGGCCAAAAUUGACUGGGAGAAUGGGGAACUGUGUAAGAACCUUUGGUAAAUCUGUGUGUUUGUACAUGUUCAAGCAAAGAGUUUGCAGCCUUUUGAAUAAUGCUGUCAGAUCUCAAAUAUCAGGAAAACAUCACCAUUUGAUUGGGGCUCUGGGUCUUGAGAAACGCCAUGCCUGAAUCUCUUGUAGCAGAACAAUAUUCUAUAAUAUCAGCGCACAUCAGUGACCCCCUGACUUCCUGUUUCAAUUGUGCAGGGAAAUGUGUGCCCCUGAUUCACAUUUAACAUUCACUGAUUAAAAUAGCAUUUUAUCCAUGAAGAUUGAUGUGAUUGUUUCUAAACUUGCUUGUGUUAAAAAUGUAAACCGCAUUCUGUCUGUCGUGGAUUGUUUAGAUUUCUCACAGAGCAUAAUUACAUCAUCCUAUUGUUGCGAUUGUUGUCUAUAUCCGAUUGUGUUACGAUAGCCCCAUGUGCUGAUCUUAUUAAGACAUUGUAAACUUAUUUCUGAGCUAUUGAUGUAGCUAAGACAAUGUAAACCUAGUUCUGAAGUGUGUUAUGAUUGUGCCAUC